UUGUCUAUGACGUGGAAUUUGUGAUUUA
rnacentral:sRNA from 1 species